ACUCUCGACAAUGGAUAUCUUGGCUCUCGCAUCGAUGAAGAACAUACCGGAAUGUGAUACCUGUUGUGAAUUGCAGAAUCCCGUGAACCAUCGAGUCUUUGAAUGCAAGUUACGGCCGAGGCCAUCCGGCUAAGGGCACGCCUGCCUGGGCGUCACGCUAUCGACGCUUCGUCGUUGCCCCCUCGGGGGGGCGGGGGUGAAUGCGGAGGAUGGCCCCCCGUGCCAGAAGGUGCGGUUGGCUGAUGAGCGGGCCGUCGAUGGUUGUCGAACACGACGCGUGGUGGAUGCCUUGUGCGAGCCGUAUGUCGUGCCUUCGGGACCCGGGCGAGGCCUCGAGGACCCAAGUCAUGGUGCGAGUCGAUGCCACGGACCGCGACCCCUAGUCAGGUGGGGCUACCCGCGGAGUUUAAGCAUAUAAAUAAGCGGAGGAGAAGAAACUUACGAGGAUUCCCUUACGGGAUCAGCCCAGCUUGAGAAUCGGGCGGCUGCGUCAUCUGAAUUGUAGUCUGGAGAAGCAUCCUCAGUGACGGACCGGGCCCAAGUCCCCUGGAAAGGGGCACCGGGGAGGGUGAGAGCCCCGUCCGACUCGGACCUUGUCGCACCAUGAGGCGCUGUUGACGAGUCGGGUUGUUUGGGAAUGCAGCCCCAAUCGGGCGAUAAAUUCCGUCCAAUGCUAAAUAUGGGCGAGAGACCGAUAGCGAACAAGUACCACGAGGGAAAGAUGAAAAGAACUUUAAAAAGAGAGUCAAAGAGUGCUUGAAAUUGCUAGGAGGGAAGCGGAUGGGGGCCGGUGAUGCACCUCAGUCGGAUGCGGAACGGCGGUUAGCCAGUCCGUCGCUCGGCUCGGGGUGCGGAUCGAUGCGAGCUGCAUCGACGGCCGAAGCCCGAACGGAUCGUUCAUUCGAGGGGAUACCGUCGAUGCGGUCGAGGACAUGACACGCAUCAUCGGCGUGCCCCACGGGGUACACGUGCCAAUGGGCUCCCCAUCCGACUGGUCUUGAAACACGGACCAAGGAGUCUGACAUGCGUGCGAGUCGAUGGGUGCAGAAACCCGGAAGGCACAAGGAAGCUAACGGGCAGGAACCCUCUCGAGGGGUUACACCGCCGGCCGACCCCGAUCUUCUGUGAAGGAUUCGAGUUGGAGCAUGUAUGUCAGGACUCGAAAAUGGUGAACUAUGCCUGAGCGAGGCGAAGCCAGAGGAAACUCUGGUGGAGGCUCGAAGCGAUACUGACGUGCAAAUCGUUCGUCUGACUUGGGUAUAGGGGCGGAAGACUAAUCGAACCAUCUUGUAGUUGGUUCCCUCCAAAGUUUCCCUCAGGAUAGUUGGAGCCCACGUGCGAGUUCUAUCGGGUAAAGCCAAUGAUUAGAGGCAUCGGGGGUGCAAUGCCCUCGACCUAUUAUCAAACUAUAAAUAGGUAGGACGGCGCGGCUGCUUCGUUGAGGCGCGUCGAGGAAUCGAGAGCUCCAAGUGGGCCAUUUUUGGUAAACAGAACUGGCGAUGCGGGAUGAACCGGAAGCCGGGUUACGGUGCCCAACUGCGCGCUAACCCAGACACCACAAAGGGUGUUGGUCGAUUAAGACAGUAGGACGGUGGUCAUGGAAGUCGAAAUCUGCUAAGGAGUGUGUAAUAACUCACCUGCCGAAUCAACUAGCCCCGAAAAUGGAUGGCGCUGAAGCGCGCGAACCACACCCGGCCAUCGGGGCGAGCGCCAAGCCCCGAUGAGUAGGAGGGCGUAGCGGUCGUCGUAAAACCCAGGGUGCGAGCCCGCGUGACACGAGAGUGUCUAAUUUGCUAUAAUCUGUUCAUAUGGACCUUACUGAUAAUAUGAUAUUUUUUUCAGCCAAUACUAUUGCUACAUAAUCUUCAACUCAGCCUACUCAGAUAAGACAGCUCAUCAGCAUAUUCCCUUUACAAAGGAAUACAUUAAUGGAGUUGGUUGGUAGCUGUAAAGCUGUAUCAUGGUGCUUUUCUUCAUAGCUAAGAAAUUUAUUAACAGAGUUGGUUAGCAGCUGUAAAGCACUUAAUUUCGAAAUUUCCUAUGCAUGAAGGGUUGUUUCAUGCACUAGUAUUUAUUUUGGGGUUUAGGGCUUAGGAAAGGUUUUAGAAAACUGAGGAUAUUGGCAGAAGCUCUCUUGGAGUGCUCUUUGAACUCUGUAUCUCUUGGAUGUGUCCUUGAGUGGUGAGUCUUUUGCUUUCAGUUCUGUAUCCUUGUUUAUUGUCACUAAGGUGGUGAUCUUUUUGUAUCCCUUUUGAUUUUAAACUUGGUGGUGAGCUAUUUUUCAUUUGACCGAAGUUUCUUCAAGAGUUCGUUCCUUGCCUUCUGUGACAUUUUCUAUCUGAACAACUUCUAUUGGUGUUAUUCCGAAAUCCAUUCUGCAUUUUUACCCUCCCCGGUAUCAGUUUGGUAUCAGAGCUAAAGGCUAGAGAUCAUGGCAAGGAGAAAUGGAAAAGAUGUAGUUGGUGAAGGUAGCGACCAUGAAGAUGACGCUGAGUCAUUGAGGCUACAGCUACGAAAAUUGCUGUGUAGCCUACAAGAAAAAAAUGAAAUAAUCGAUGAACUUCAAAGUAGACACAACCAACAUGAAAAUGAUGCUCGAGAGUUUUCUUCUGAUGAUGAUACACCUCAUCUUCCAAGGGAGUCGAGAAGAUGUCGGAGAAGAAAUGAAGUCCAAGAUGAGUGGAGAAUAAAUAUAACCCCAGAUUUGAUAUUCCAGAAUUUGAAGGUAAAAUGAAUGUUGAUGACUUUAUCGAUUGGUUUAAUACAGUAGAAAGAAUUUUCGAUUUUCAUGAACCACCAGAACAAAAGAAGGUCAAACUUAUGGCACUCAAACUUAGGCAGAAUGCAUCUUUUUGGUGGGAAAAUCUGAAGAAACAAAGAGAACGUGAGGGUAAGAGUAAGAUAGUUACAUGGGAGAAAAUGAAAAGGGAGCUGAAAAGAAAAUAUUU
rnacentral:rRNA from 1 species